rnacentral:rRNA from 1 species
GAUGAACGCUGGCGGCGUGCCUAAUACAUGCAAGUCGAGCGAACAGACGAGGAGCUUGCUCCUCUGACGUUAGCGGCGGACGGGUGAGUAACACGUGGAUAACCUACCUAUAAGACUGGGAUAACUUCGGGAAACCGGAGCUAAUACCGGAUAAUAUAUUGAACCGCAUGGUUCAAUAGUGAAAGACGGUUUUGCUGUCACUUAUAGAUGGAUCCGCGCCGCAUUAGCUAGUUGGUAAGGUAACGGCUUACCAAGGCGACGAUGCGUAGCCGACCUGAGAGGGUGAUCGGCCACACUGGAACUGAGACACGGUCCAGACUCCUACGGGAGGCAGCAGUAGGGAAUCUGCCGCAAUGGGCGAAAGCCUGACGGAGCAACGCCGCGUGAGUGAUGAAGGUCUUCGGAUCGAAAAACUCUGUUAUUAGGGAAGAACAAAUGUGUAAGUAACUAUGCACGUCUUGACGGUACCUAAUCAGAAAGCCACGGCUAACUACGUG